UACGAAGGGGGCUAGCGUUGCUCGGAAUCACUGGGCGUAAAGGGUGCGUAGGCGGGUCUGUAAGUUAGAGGUGAAAGCCUGGAGCUCAACUCCAGAAUUGCCUUUGAUACUGCAUGGCUUGAAUCCAGGAGAGGUGAGUGGAAUUCCGAGUGUAGAGGUGAAAUUCGUAGAUAUUCGGAAGAACACCAGUGGCGAAGGGCGGCUCACUGGACUGGUAUUGACGCUGAGGUGGCGAAAGCGUGGGAGCAAACAGG
rnacentral:rRNA from 1 species